UGUUGGUGUCGCACAUUAGACUUGUGUUUAAAUAGAGCUUUGCUCGUGAACCAAAUAUGGUGGGCUGGGUUGUCUUUGCGGAAACGCUUAGGCGACUUGUCUACGAAUUGUAAUCAUAAUAUGGGCGGCGGUGAAUCCUUUGCAGACGACUUGAAUGGGAACGGGGUACUGUAAGUGGUAGAGUAGCCUUGUUGCUACGAUCCACUGAGGUUAAGCCCUUGUUCUAAAGAUUUGUUC
rnacentral:rRNA from 1 species